rnacentral:pre_miRNA from 1 species
ACUUGGAGAUAUCGAGCUCGAGGUCAGUUUGUCGCCAAACAAACGUGACACAGAGCGUGAUUCUUAUUUUUGCGAGGCUUUGAGGUUAGGCUUUGAGCUUACCUUCUUCUCCCGUCGAAAACCCUAGCCGCAAACCCCCGCAGAGGUAAUAGUCGCGCUCUGCCAUGUUUCGCGGCAAACUGGACCUCGAGAUCCAUCACUCCAAGU